rnacentral:piRNA from 1 species
UAAAGGCUGAUGAUGAUGAUGAUGAUGA